rnacentral:rRNA from 1 species
GAUGAACGCUGGCGGCGUGCCUAAUACAUGCAAGUCGAGCGAACAGACGAGGAGCUUGCUCCUCUGACGUUAGCGGCGGACGGGUGAGUAACACGUGGAUAACCUACCAAUAAGACUGGGAUAACUUCGGGAAACCGGAGCUAAUACCGGAUAAUAUAUUGAACCGCAUGGUUCAAUAGUGAAAGACGGUUUUGCUGUCACUUAUAGAUGGAUCCGCGCCGCAUUAGCUAGUUGGUAAGGUAACGGCUUACCAAGGCAACGAUGCGUAGCCGACCUGAGAGGGUGAUCGGCCACACUGGAACUGAGACACGGUCCAGACUCCUACGGGAGGCAGCAGUAGGGAAUCUUCCGCAAUGGGCGAAAGCCUGACGGAGCAACGCCGCGUGAAUGAUGAAGGUCUUCGGAUCGUAAAACUCUGUUAUUAGGGAAGAACAAAUGUGUAAGUAACUAUGCACGUCUUGACGGUACCUAAUCAGAAAGCCACGGCUAACUACGUG